rnacentral:rRNA from 1 species
AUUGAACGCUGGCGGCAGGCCUAACACAUGCAAGUCGAGCGAGCGGCGGACGGGUGAGUAAUGUCUGGGAAACUGCCUGAUGGAGGGGGAUAACUACUGGAAACGGUAGCUAAUACCGCAUACCAUCAGAUGUGCCCAGAUGGGAUUAGCUAGUGGGUGGGGUAACGGCUCACCUAGGCGACGAUCCCUAGCUGGUCUGAGAGGAUGACCAGCCACACUUGAACGGAGAAACGGUCCAGCCUCCUACGGGAGGCAGGAGGGGGGAAUUUUGGACAAUGGGCGCAAGCCUGAUGCAGCCAUGCCGGGGGUGUGAAGGAGGCCUUCGGGUUGUAAAGCACUUUCAGCGAGGAGGCGUUACUCGCAGAAGAAGCACCGGCUAACUCCGUGCCAGCAGCCGCGGUAAUUC